UGAGUUGUAGCUCAGUAGUAGAGCGCUUACCUAGCAUGUGUGAGGCACUGGGUUCAAAUCUCAGCACCACAU
rfam:Ictidomys tridecemlineatus contig057291, whole genome shotgun sequence.